AUUAUUUUGGCGCAAGGACGAAAGUUUCGUUCACAGUAUCAUUCUUUUUUUUAUAUAUUGUGAUAAAUUGAAAAUGUCUGCUACUCAACAAUGUACGCAGCCAUGCCGUUGUCAAUAUGUAAAAAGAUGGUUGGACGUUCACGAGAAAUAUUUUCCAGACCCAGCUAGAAUUCCUCCUCAGCAUACCACUUCUGGAGUUCCCUGCACAUUCAAAAGCAGCCAAAGCCAUGUGAAUUACAGCUAUAAUGGAUCAGUUAAUAGCAAAACUGUUCAAGUCCCAUAUGUGUUACAAGCACCAUAUAAAAUUUCGCCAGUCAAUUACCAUCUUCGUAAAUAGAUUAUGUAAACAAACGUUA